rnacentral:tRNA from 1 species
AAGGGAGACCUAAUUCGGGUAGGAGACGAAAAAAAAGUAGUCCCUACCAAGAAUCAAUCCCAAAAGGUCGGAACGAGGUAUGUGGCUUUCAAACUAGGUUCUGGGUUCAUAAAAGACCUGAAUCAGGAACAAGGGCUAUUAGCUCAGGUGGUUAGAGCGCACCCCUGAUAAGGGUGAGGUCCCUGGUUCGAGUCCAGGAUGGCCCACCUGCACAGGUGGCAAAAACAAGAGAAACGAGGAAUCAGCACCUUAUCUUACUUAUAUAGUAGGAGAGAAUGCUGGCUCUGAGUAAAGAGUCCAGAGGAACCUUGAAAACUGCAUAGAGCUAGGUGAAAAAGCCAAAAAAGAAGACCGCAAGGUCAAGCUAAUAAGGGCUAACGGUGGAUACCUAGGCAC